AUUGAACGCUGGCGGCAGGCCUAACACAUGCAAGUCGAACGAGUGGCGGACGGGUGAGUAAUGGCUGGGAAACUGCCCGAUAGAGGGGGAUAACUACUGGAAACGGUAGCUAAUACCGCAUACCAUCGGAUGUGCCCAGAUGGGAUUAGCUUGUAGGUGGGGUAAUGGCUCACCUAGGCGACGAUCCCUAGCUGGUCUGAGAGGAUGACCAGAAAAACUGGAACUGAGCCACGGUCCAGACUCCUACGGGAGGCAGCAGUGGGGAAUAUUGCACAAUGGGCGCAAGCCUGAUGCAGCCAUGCCGCGUGUAUGAAGAAGGCCUUCGGGUUGUAAAGUACUUUCAGCGGGGAGUCGUUACCCGCAGAAGAAGCACCGGCUAACUCCGUGCCAGCAGCCGCGGUAAUAC
rnacentral:rRNA from 1 species